rnacentral:rRNA from 1 species
UACAGAGGUGGCAAGCGUUGUUCGGAAUUACUGGGCGUAAAGGGCGCGUAGGCGGCCUUCUAAGUCAGACGUGAAAUCCCCCGGCUUAACCUGGGAACUGCGUCUGAUACUGGGGGGCUUGAGUGCGGGAGAGGGAUGCGGAAUUCCAGGUGUAGCGGUGAAAUGCGUAGAUAUCUGGAGGGAACACCGGGGGGAAGGGCGGCAUCCUGGACCGACACGGACGCGGAGGCGCAAAGGCUGGGUAGCAAACGGG